CAAGAGUUGCAAGAGGGCAGGAAACUACCAAGCUGUAGUGAUCAUGCAGCAUUGAGGAGUGUUCUCCAUCCUCCUUUUGUAGCCAGACCCGCUGAUUGCAAAUCAGCUGCAGCUGGAGCCUCCCUCUCCUGAAACACACAACUCAAAGAUGGGAAAAUGAGAGGAGUACUCACCCCGGCACAUGAUAGUUCUGAUGCCUAAUCUGUGGAAGCAAGGAGCCUCGGGCUGAAUCUGUUAAAAGGUCACCAUGGCAGCCUGUGUCUCCAACAUCAGCUACACAACGCAGCAAGUCCAUUUGGAUCAUUGGAGACAGCUACGUGAGGCGUGGUGCCCAGAGAGCUGCAGAGACCGUCGGACACAACCUUGGCCUCCCUGACGUCAGUGUCUCCUGGUUCGGUUGGGGCGGACCAUCGACAUACAUACAUGUGCCGACACUUUGCGCCCUGUUUUAUAAAAUGUAGUGUUAAAAAUAAAUGUUUUUGCUCAAUUACUGGAAUUUUUUUGGUUAAGACUACAAAGUGAGGAAUAAUCAUUUACAAGUUAUUUGUACAACAGGCCCAUUUUUAAUCCCAACAGUUUCUUAGCAGACAAUAGAAAUGUGUUCUUUACUAACUUUACUUGGUUUAAAAAUCUUACUAAAAUAAACAGAGUGCCGUAUUG